rnacentral:rRNA from 1 species
UACGUAGGGUCCGAGCGUUGUCCGGAAUUAUUGGGCGUAAAGGGCUCGUAGGCGGUUUGUCGCGUCGGGAGUGAAAACUCAGGGCUCAACCCUGAGCGUGCUUCCGAUACGGGCAGACUAGAGGUAUGCAGGGGAGAACGGAAUUCCUGGUGUAGCGGUGGAAUGCGCAGAUAUCAGGAGGAACACCGGUGGCGAAGGCGGUUCUCUGGGCAUUACCUGACGCUGAGGUACGAAAGCGUGGGGAGCAAACAGG